UUCGGGAGAGGCAAGCGUUGCUCGGAAUCAUUGGGCUUAAAGCGCGUGUAGGCGGCUCGUUAAGUGCCAUGUGAAAGCCCUCGGCUCAACCGGGGAAUUGCACGGUAUACUGACGGACUUGAGGGAGGUAGGGGUGCCUGGAACUCUAGGUGGAGCGGUGAAAUGCGUUGAUAUCUAGAGGAACGCCCGUGGCGAAAGCGGGGCACUGGGCCUUUCCUGACGCUGAGACGCGAAAGCGUGGGUAGCAAACGGG
rnacentral:rRNA from 1 species